UUUUUUUUUUUUUUUUUUGCACACUCAAAUUUCAAACUUCGAAUUGUGAGAAUCAAAACUGAAGGUGUAAAACGGAAAAUGUUUUUAUUUUGAAUUUUUGAAAUUUUCUCUUUUUUUUUUUUUGGUCUUCAAACACCGCGUGGGCACGCCAAGAUUGCACUUCCUGCCACAGUAGAGAUUGCACUUCCUGCCACAGUAGAGAAAAAUAUGAAGACCAUUACUACUCAACUGAGAAACAAAAAAAAUGAAAGAAGUGAACAACGAAAAAUAAUAAAAUCAAUAUUUGGGUUGCCUCCCAAAAAACGCCCUUCUUUAAUGUCUUUGGCUAGACAUUGUUAUGUCUUGUUCAUGGAGGAUAAAAUCUUGUGGCUCGCUUCAAUGCUUCAUUUUCAAUGUGAUCCUGAUAACCCUCAUAGAUGGAGUAAUCCUUCAGCACACGAGCUACGAUCUUCUGUGAACUAGUAGAUGGCUCCAAACCGGUCAACAAUAAUCUGGAUUCUUCACUCACUCCUCCACCACGCGCAUUUAUCGGUUCAAGAUAUUUCGCCAUCUCCACUCUCAACUUAUUUCUGCCAUGAGACUCAAAAACUUCCGGUAUAACAAAAUCAAUCUCAUUAACAGAAAUCAUAGAGUAAGAGUUAGGAAAAUGCGGGUUAGGGAAUGGAGGUGGUGUCACCACAUUUGAUGAUUCUUCACUGGAUUCUUUCACUUGAACGGGUUGCAGUUGGGGUUCCAUUUCUUCCUUUUCGGCUUCUUUUUCAACUGCAUCUGUAGAUCUCUCUUCUUGAAACUCUUGCAGCUCCUUAUCACUAGUCAAGCAAAUUGCACUAUCAUUUUCUUCAAAAUCAACAAUGGUUUUCGAGGGCAAUUCUUCAAUUUGAGAAGCCACCAAUCGAUUUACUCUGGAUGUCAAUAGACAUAUUUGAUCUUCCAGAUUACUCAUUGCAUCCUUCAUCAUCCUAUUUCUCAUUUGUGUCUCCUGUUGGAAUUGAUAUGUAUUAGUAGCUAUUGAUUCAACCAUUUCUUCAAGAGACAUACCCGACAUAAAUGAUGAUUCUUGAGACUCAUACUGCUGAAAAUUCAUUGGCCCUGUUGUAUAAUUAUAACUGGAGUUAUCCCACCAUCCUUGAUCAUACCCGUUUGGAUUAGGGUUAUACCACGUUUGAGACCAGGGUGAAAAAUCUCCAUAAUUAUUGAAUGGGACACUCAGAUUAUCUUGAUAUUCGGGGCACAUACCGGUUGAAUGAUCCCUGGCAUAACAAAUGUUACAGGUUGCAGCAGUCAUUCUUUCUCUAAUAGAGUUUAGUGCCUCUGAAUAUGCAAACUUAGCAAAAAAAGAAGCCUCAUUGCCUUCCCUGGAAACAAAAUCCAGUCUAUCACCAAAAUACGGAGUGUUAGAAGUCAUAAACUAUAUUAAAAAAAUAAGAGAAAAAAAAAUAAAAUAAAAAAAUGAACUAAAAAAAGAAAUAAGUUAAUCUAGCAUCAGUCCCCGGCAACGGCGCCAAAAAUUGACAGGUGCCGAACUUGUGCAAUAAUAAAUACUUACUCGAGAAAAAUACAUAUUUUGUAUAUAGCGGUGAGUAGGGUCGAAUCCACAGGGACUGGGGAUAAUUCGUUUCUUCUAGAGUCCAAAGUAUGGGAGGUUCUUGGAUUAAAUGCUAACUAAAUAAAUUAACUGCAGAAAAUAAUUAAUUAAAAGAAAUAACUAAGAGAAACUCUAGCCAAGGGUACACUUCAGAAAUGGUUCAUGCAACUGAUCAUUGAUUCACAGAUAAUUCCACAUUUAUUAAUAGAUUAGUUAUAGUUGUCAUGCACGCGAUAAACAACCAAUCUUUCCUUAAUUUUUCGAUAGUUAAGGUACGACCGUUAACUAUUUCUCUAACCCAAAAACAACUCUAGGUACGACCGUAGGAUUUAAUUUCUAGAUUGUAUUAAUAAUUAGAAAGGUCCAAUCCUAACUAACAAACACGCUACGAGGGUUUGUUUAAACUAGAUCGUAUGCUCCCCUGACAUAAAUCCAAUUACGUCAGUUGCUACUAAGAUAGAGAUAACGAAUAAUUACGGAUUCAAUUACAUCUAUUUAGCAAAAUAGCCUAUAUGAAUAAUUAAUUAUUGCGCACUAAUCAAUCAUACACAAGAUUUAUAACAGUUAAAAGCAGGAAACAUAUGAAUACCAAUAAAUGGAGGAAACAAUUAAAAUAAAUUCGAUCUUACAGUAAUUGUUGAACCAAGUCUUCAGUUGUCCCCUUGACUAGAAUUGAGAGGUUAGUCCUCCAUUAAUGGAGAACAACCAUGCGAAAAAGCUAAGAAAAGUAAACUAAAACUAUGCUAAAAACCUAAACUAAAACUAUUGAUUGAUAAGAGUUCUCUGUACGUUUGUCUCCCUUUUUAAAGCCAAAAGGAAGUCUAAUGCUAUCUCUAGUGGUCCCCACACCAAAUUCAAAGUCUUGUACGUUUCUUUUCCUAGAGUCCAAAUGACUCAUGCUUCUUAUCCGUGGUCCCCGCACAUGUGGACAAAGCCUCCAAAGUAUUUGUUGUUCCAAGUCUCUCUACGUUGCUUUCUUUGAAAAGCCCAAAUGACUAAAUGCCUUGCACUAGCUUGUGGUCCCCACCAAUUCAAGGACCCAAAGGUUGAAGCCCUUAGAAGUCUGCAUUUUUCCAUACAAGUCCCUCCUUUUUUGUAAUUUUCUGUUUCACUUCCUGAAAUUGAGUCCAAUACCAAAUAUAAGUAAAUAUUAAUAAUUAAAACAAUAUUUGGCAAGGAUAAAUGGGAAAAUUAACAAUAAAAUAACUAACAAUUAACACCCUAUCACUAAGGAUUCAGACCAAAUAACAAAGCAGCACCAUUUAGGGACAUAGCAGAUUUUACAUCAUCAAUUAUGUACUGUUCCAAAGAAAACAAAAAAAAAAAAGCUUACUACUCUACCUAGGUAACAACUCUAAUAGUACAAGAACUAAGAUUCACAUAUCUAUGCCCCAAAAAAACCAAUGACAAAGCACAAAUAAAGUUGUAGAAAAAGGAACAUAAGGCAUAAUAGUGGAUCCAACAACAAAGAAAGACCCAACAGAAUUAGUUGCAGCUUUGAAAUGCCCACUAGAACUUAUUAAUCAUUCUCACUGGUAUUCAGUCAAAAACUAAAUCAACAAUAUCCCACUCUCCCAGGAAAUUCUGAAAGCAACUGACGUUCACUAAGGAUCGAAAAAGCUCAAAAAGACAUGAAGCUUACUUCUUGUCGCCAUACGUCAGACUGAUUAGCAAGAUGGACAUAUAAUAAUGUCAGGAAGAUGAUUGUUGAAGGUUUUCAGCAAGACAAUGAAAUACAACUGCCCAUCUUCCCAAAAAAAUUGAUAUCGCAGAGAACUCUUUCGAGCAAAGUGCAAUGACAAAUUAGCACAACGUCGAUACACACAAUCCCUGCUUUCUAUAACACCGAGAUGUAGAAUCAAAUUUGUAUGACUAUUUUACUUAAUCUCUUAGUGGAUGCAAACAAAAAAACAUAGGAUGUCUUAAAAUCUAAAAUCAAAUUGAACGAAAGAAGGAAACAAGAACGAAGGAAGAUAUGACAGGUGUAGAGGAAAAGAACCAAAAUAAGAAGGUGAAUAAAGAAAAAAGAAGCAAAAGAUUUUAAAAAAAUGGAAAUAAGAAGAGUUAAAAAGUGGACAAUGGGAGAAAUCAGAAAAUGAAGACGAAGAAUAUGAACUCCAUGCAAAAAGCAUAAAAGGAGGAAUUCAAAACUGGUACUAAUACUCUUUAACUUUUGAAUUAUUUCAUUUUGACCCAUGGAUAUUUUGGGGCAACAAAACUGCUCUUACGCAUUUUCCGUAACUUCAAUUGUAGAAUUAAGUUCUAUAUCUCUUCAAAUAGUUCAAUUGCAAGUUUUAAAACAGCAUAUUAGAGUUGGAUUUUAAGGGUUUUGAAUUGCAACAAGUGUGGAAGGCAAAAAGGAAGAGACAUUUUGUUGAUAUUAGUAACAUUAUCUAAAUGAAAAUUUGAGGUUGUGAUUUCAACGAAAUGUCUAACAGGAUCAAGCAAUUGGAAAGAAUAUUGUUUAAACAAUAAAAAUUUAAUAUCAAGAUUUAGUAUAGUAAAAAGCUUGGAUAAGAAAAACAAAAAUGAACAGGCCUCACAUUAGGAUUAAAAAAAUUUUUCCAAAGAAAACAUGUUGCCUGGAAGAGACGUAAAGUCAAAACGUCCAAAAAAAUAAAAACAACAAAAAGCAGGAUCAAUAAAAAGUGGAUGGAUACUUGGAUAGUCACCAUUAAAUUAAGGCAAAGUGAUGAUUUGGAGCAGUCAGAUCAAUAUCAAAUAAUAGUUAACCCUUUUUUAUUUUUUUUCUCCUUCUAUUUGUGUUUUUCUAUUUAGUCUCUUAGUAAGCAAAAAACAUUUCGUUCAUUUUUAGGCAGUGUGCAUUGGCAUUUUCAUAGGAACUGUGAAUUUAGACUACGUAUUUGUAUUUAUUUGUACAUCCUCUAUAUAUUGCAAAUCUAUAGUUUCCAUGAUGACAUAGGCAUUUCAAUAUUGUUAAUAAUAAUUAGGGAAAAUGACCUAUUUCAUCCCUCACAUUUCGCAAAAAUAUUCUUUUCGUCCCUCACUUUUAAAAUGAAGCAAAUUCGUCCCUGACAUUUAAAAAUUAAAGCUAUUACAUCCUUGAACUUAAUUUUCAAUCUGAAUCAAACCAUCUAAUAAUCCAGUAAUAAAUUUCAAAAAUAGAAUUGAUAGAUCAUUCGGUCAACUUCAUCGUAUUCACAUGACAUUCAUUAAACAAAAAAAAUAAAAAUUAUAACAUAAAAGGCCAUUCUUUGUCUUGGAAUAGUAGAGUUUUUUUUUUUUAUAAAUCUUUUCAUGCAUCAUUAGUAUAUCCGUUUGCGAAUCUAGAUGUGUAUCAUAAAUAUAAAAUUUGGUGUUUAAAUUUAAAUUAAAAUGAUAUGGCGGUACAUAAAACCGUCAGUGUAUACAAUGAUAAUGUAGAAAAGAUUAAUCUUUCUUUUUUAUAUUAUAAUUUUUUAUUUUUUCAUUUUAGAUUCAUUAAAUUUUACAUGAAUAUCAAGUUGAGUUAACCAAGUGAUCUACCAAUUAUACCCCCAAAAUUUAUAAUUAGGUUGAUUGGUGGUUUGAUUCAGAUUGAAAUUUGGGUUCAGGGAUGUAAUAAUUUUAGUUUUUAAAUGUCAAGGACGAAAUUGCUUCAUUUUAAAAGUGAGGGACGAAAAGAAUAUUUUUGUGAAAUGUGAAGGAUGAAACCGAUCAUUUUCCCUAAUAAUUAAUGAUGUACCAGCAUUUCUUUACGUCAUCUAUAUAUAUAUAUAUAUUUUAAGAACAAGGAACCGAUGGAGUAGUUUUCUUAUAAUUACAUUGUUUAGUUUGAGUUACAUCAUAUAAAAGAUAAAAAUUUGGAUACACCACAAAAUAUUUGACUAUGUUAAUAUACAAGUAUCUAAUCACCUUUAGAAGUUUUGGUUUCUAAAAAAAGUAUUUAAUCUCUUUUUUCAAUGCAUGUCAAUAAUAACAAUUAAACAGUGCGUAAUUUUAUUUUAUUUUUUUGAGGCCAAUUAUAGACCCAAAUCGUAUUUCAAAAAUAUGAAAUCUUAAUUCAAGGGCUAUUCCAGCAGGCUUGUCAAUUGAGCCUUAUGAUUGUACUUGACAAAGUCCAGAUAAAACAGAUAUUAAAAUCAGAACUUUAGUCGUAAGAGGUCCAUCUAGAUUCUAAACUGACGAAAUCACGGGCCUUGGAAUACGAAGCAUACCAACCCAAUUUGCGUGUUAUUAGUGCAUGACAUUCAUGAAUCAUGACAACAAAAACUAGCCCAAAUAGAACUUUACAAUUUGUUUCCAGCAAAACUAAGAGGAGAACCCAUAUGUUGAAAGGACAAUAUUUCCAGAUUUAAACUGGAAGCAAAUUUUGUUGUCAUAAAUCGUCCUAUGUUGAUUCUCUACACUGUGCAUGUAGCUUGGUUUGUUUGUUUUCAGUGGAUUUUAUAAUGAUUUACAGUAGAAUAAUAAGAGGUCUAAGUUUCAAAUGAUUUUUUUUUUUUUUGGGUCUCAAGAGUACAUGGAAAUAAUAGGAAACUUCUAAUCGAAAAAAAAAAAAAAAGCAUUUGCAGAAAAAUCUCAUUAGGCUGCAAAUCUCUCCAAACUAAUCCCUCUUCAUGUGACAGAGGUGGCCUCAGUUAUCCAGUAAUGCAACAUUUUGGUGAAUUAAAUUUAAGCACUGUGGAACAACACAGGGAAUGCACUUCCGUAGAAUUGUGGAAAAUUUGUAGCAUCUCACAAGGUAUUAUAUAAUAGACGUACAGCAAUAACGUGAAUUAUAUUUGUGUAUAUAUAAUAGACACAACCAGCAGUGGAACUUAAUCGUUCAAUAGCUUUAAUCUAUAUUCUAGAAUUCAUAUCUAGCAAAUUGGUAAUAUUAAAUCCAAUAUGGCAGCAAAUUGAGUAGAAAUCAACUUCAAAUAACUCCUAAAACGGUGUCUAGUAAAAAGGUAGAUUAGCGAUUUUUUUUUCGGGAGACACAGACCUUACUACAUUAACGAAAUGUUUUGACAUAACUUUUGAAUUUUUUUUGUUGUAGGUGAAAUUUGAACCUUCACCUGCAAUUUAACGAGGAAUUUGAGACUCUCCCUAGUGGCCAUUGAGCUAAGCUCAGUGGUUCACUUUGCAGAAUCAUUCGAGAUGUACAGAAUUGAAUCAAGUACAAAUUGAGCUGUCCAACUGCAAGAAGAUUGGAAAGGAGACAAAAAUGAAACAAAGGGAUUGGAGGCUUGUGUGGAGAUCUUCCUAACGAAGAUAUCGGUGAAUGAGAUAGCAGUUUUUACGGCUGUGUAAAAUGAGUGGUGGGAAUGCAGCAGAGGGGUUGCGGGAGUGGAACUAGACUAGAACUGGGGUUGGUGAGUAGAACUUUUAACUCUUCCUCUAUCUUAUUCUGUUCUUUCUUUCUUUCCCUUUUUUUUUUGUCUUUUUGGUUUUAUGUAUUUCUUCCUUUAUUUGUUUUGUUUUUCUCUUUCUUUUCCUUUUACCAAUAAAGAUAUAAAUUGGGAAGGCAUUUUUUUUUUUUGCUUUAUUUUUGCAGAAGAAGCAUAUAGUUUUUUCUUUAUUACUAUUCUUCUUUUUUUUUUUUUCUAUACAUGUUUUGUUUCCUUUGACUCCCCAUUUUCUUCUCCGUUUCUUCCAAUGAAACUUGGCUUGUUGUCAAUGCAUUUGGGUGAAGGAUUAUUUUGUCGUUCUCCAGAAUCUAACGGUAAACUAAAGAUGACAUUGGUGAUGAGGGGUGAAUGUAAUUUGGCCUAGCCUCAAGGGUUGAUUGGUAAUUUGGUGAAACCUCAAAAGAGUUAAAUUUAAUUAACCUAAUAUCUAAUAGGGUAUGUUACAAAGGUUUAACUAUUUAUUGUCUAGCCCUACGGGAUUUUAGUAAUGGUUCCGAGCCAAAAGAAAUUAUAGCGUAAUGGAUCUUCUGUCCCACUUCUUAUUUCAUAAGUUAUCCCACUUUUUAUUAUAUUAUUAUUUCUUAUUUAUAAACAUUAUAUUUUAAUUCUUUUUUAUUUUCUUACUAUUAAAUAACUAGUAACACAGUAAAAAAUAAAGUAUUUUUCCAAUAGAUGUCUCUUGGGUACUCGUUAAUGCACCUAUAUUCCAUCCAACCUAUCAUGUAUAUACACAAAUUAACAAUUGCUACAUUCCCUUGUAUUUAUACACCUUCCUAAUUAAUUCCCUUACAUUUAUACACAUCCCCUAAUUAAUCUUAUAUUUCUAAAAAUCUAAUACUUGAAAUAUAUCUUAAGAGGUGCCCAUUGGGUACUCGUUAGACAGACCCAAAAGUAAAUACAACAAUUUCAAAAAAUAUAUAUAAUAGAAAAUCACAAAAUAUAGUAGAAAAUUUAUAAAAAAAAAGUCUCAUUUUUAUGCAUAUUAUGAAUUUUUGAAUUUGUUAAAUUUUGUGUGUUACUCAGUUAUAAUUACUGAACCUAAGGGAACAAAAGAGAAUUAAAAUAUGAUAUUUAUGAAGGAGAAAUAUGCAAUAUAGUAAAAAGUUGGACAGAAAGUAAACCAGAGAGCGGGACAGAAAAUUCGUCCUCUUAAACUCUCCGUUUGGCUAUGUUGAUCUUCUGCAAGCUCGUAAUUAUCUUCAUCAACUCUUUACUCAAUCAAAGGUGCCAUCUUUGGUCUACGUUCUCUUAGCUCAAUACGAGAACACCCAAAAAUUUAUCUUCAGUAACAGAGAAUAUAUUUUUUAAUUACUCACAUUCAGUUCUUCCUGCUACUAAAAACUUUAAUUACCUCACUAGUUUUUUUAAUUAUUUUCUUGCUGCUGCUACUUGUAAUUUAACCCAUAAUAUAUACUUUUUUGUGGAUCAUCGUUCUCUUCAAUUUGUUUGAGACAUCAACGGCGGCUAGACAUUGGGUUUUUUCCUUUAUCUUCUAUUAUCUGUUGGCUUUUUAGUUAUGGAUAUGGUGUCCUAAUUUUCAUGUCUUGGAUCGAUACUGCAGAGUUCCUAUACCAGGCUCCUAUGGAAGAACGACGGUGCUCUAUGAUGAGUUUAUGAUUUGUUAUAUGUAACAUAUAGUAAAUGAGAGUUUAUGAUUUGUCUUGUGACUUCUGCUGGAAACAGAAGUGUUCAGCGCUGUGGUUGAUCAAUGUAAUGGAGCCAUGCAACUUUUAGUUUGUGCAAUUGUAUAUAUCAGCAAUUUUCAGCCUUUCCAUGGCCGCUGAUAAACAAACAUUUGCAAAUUGAAUCAUCCUUUCGUAAAAUUAAUUAAAAUAUGAUCGAUCAGAGAAUUUUGUGGUGCCUCGGAGAUAUUUAAAGCACUUCUAGAGAAAGAAUGAUCUUUCAAGUUAUUAAAGUCUACGGUAUUAAAGCACUUAUUUGUGGUGCUCAAAAAAACAAACCUGCUACUAAAAACGUGUGCUAAAACGGGAAAAAUUAUUUUGAAAAAAAAAUAAAAAUUAAACAGCCACUCCUCCUUACAUAAAAUUAAAAACCCCAUUUUUCUGAUGCCCAAUUAAUUACUAGGUAGGGGGUUCAGGGUUGCCUUGCCUGACUGCAACGGUUGGAACUUACGCCAGUUGCCCUGGCAGCAGAGGGCGAAGGAUGUGGAUACACUCCAAUCAUUCCACCGCCACCUGCCAAAUGUAUCGUUGCUGACAAAAAAAAAAAAAAAAAAAAAAUUCCACCGCCACCUGCCAAAUACAAAAAUUUACUAGUAUUACAGUAAAGAUUAGAUAUUAAUAUAAAAAGGGCUAAAUCCAUGCACUUAAAUUUCCUAAACGUGAAAUGUUUUCGGUUAAAAUAUACAAGCGGUUAAGCAAUAAAAAAAAAAUUGUAAACAAAAAGAUGUAGUAUACUUACUACUGCAGAGAGCCGGUUGGGGUAAAAUCAUGGAAAUCAUCAAAAGCCAAUAGAAGAUGAGAAUAGGAGGAGCAAAAGUCUUCCUCUUGCUCAUCAUUAUAUUGUUUAUUUCUUCUAUCUCCGGUGUAUACUACUUACUAUUGGUUUGUGAUUCUUCUAUUUGGAGAAAUAUUUAAAAAGAAAUAUUCUUUGAAUUACAUAUACUCAAUAUAAGAAACUAAAGAAUUUCAUAUGUUUGAUUCAUAUACGCUGUAGUUCUCUCUUGUCAAUUACGUUGUGCUUUAUUGUUAAUGCAAGUAUAUAAUAAUUAGAAUUUUUUAAUAUUUAAAAAUUCUUUUUUCACUGAAAAAAAUUGCAAUAAUGGAAUGGAAACCAUAGUAAUGCGAGAAUUGUUUGUUAUGAAUAAUACCAUAGUAAUUCUUUAAAAAUUCAUUCAGCAUACCUCAAUUACUUCUUUUGUUUGUUAUGAAUUGUUUGUUCGGUUAAUCCAUGAACUAUGCACACACCACCAAUAAUGGAAUGGAAACCAUAGUAGAUUCACAGAUUAAAAAAAUAUUAGUCUAGAAAAAGAAGCCCAAAAUGGAAAAUGCGAGUGAACUCCCUUGACGUUUAAGUGACAAAAUUCACAUGUACACAAAAGUUAUACUAGUUCACACGGAAUAAUUGUCAGAUUAUAUAAUUGGACGGAACUGGAAUGAAAAGGACUGGAUCCCACGAGAAAACAUAACGCAAAACAAAAGCAAUCAUGAAUAAAAUAUAGUUUCGAAAGCAACUCACCGACUUUUGAUACUCUCCACACGCUUCAACUUAGGGGUAACCACUUGCAAUGGUAGCAUCCCUGAUUUUUUCUUUGCAAUGGUAGCUAUGAAACUGAAUUAGUCAAUCAAGACAAGUGGCAAAAUGUAACCUUGUUGAUCCCUAAUAAGAGUAAAUGCUACUGUUUCUAAAACUUAAAAAGAGUAGACAACUCAAAACGAUAAAGUCGUAACAAGAAAAUUUUUGGACACAAAUCUUAUCGAAACAAACAAAUGACAGCAAAGCUGGCCAAAAGAAUAACAAUAUUCUUUGGCCCAUUUUUGGACACUCUUGAGUGAGGAAUUGUCUGGUUCUGUAUAACUUUUGUACGUGUUAUGAUUUUUAGUACAUAACUACAUUAAUUAUUGUACAGAAUAUAUGUGAAAUAUUUUUUUAUAUACAUCAACUUUUUCACGAGCACAACAUUACAAUAUUAUCGUACAUCAAAUAAUACUGAAAAAAAAAAAGAUGAUGAAUGACGUAUGACGAUAUAAGAAAAUCUAUUUGUGUAUUGCAUAUGCCACAUAGUUUAAAAAAAAACUCAUAAAUCAUGCCUGCCUAAAUUUUUGCAAGCAUUUAGGGCAUAAAAGAACUAUAGAAUAAAAUUACACCAACAUUAUUGUACCCGUGUAUAGGAUACUUAGGCAUAUCCUUUUCAAGCAAAUCAAUAAUUACAAGUCGAUUCACAUUUUGCAGGAAAGCAUCAAUGUAGCCAAAUAUCAACUAGAAAUCACAAACUUAUGAACGUAAUAAAGUAUGAAUUACCAUUUACCAAUUUUCUCAGAAUCUUCAACACCUACAUGAUUAGGACCACCCAAUGGAUUUGGACCAAAUUGUCAAUCUUGCUUGGUAGCCGUCGCUUCACCCGAUUGUUACUUCAUGAAACCUGGCUAAAUCUGACUAGAUAGCCAACGACGACUUGCUUGUAAUGGUUUAUGGAGGUUUUCUGCAUUUAAUUCUAUCCUUUUCAAGCAAAUUAAUUAUUCCAAAUACAUUCAUAUUUUGUAGGAAAAUGUCAAUGUAGCCAAAUAUCAAUUAGAAAUCGCAAACGUAUGGACGUAAUAAAAUAUAAAUCACUAUCUACCAAUCUUUCCAAAAUCUUCAACAGUUAAGUAAUGGAAAAUAAGAGGAACCAUCCAAUAGGUUUGGACCAAAUUUCCAAUCUUGCUUCUAUGAGUUGUAACUUCAUUCAUGAAAUUGGCUCAAUCUCAAAGAAUAACCAACAUCAGUUACAUCAUAGAACAACAACUUGACUCGCGAGUCAUGAUAUUAUUGCUUGGUAGCCGUUGCUUCUCCCAGUUGUUACUUCAUGAAACGUGGCUGAAUGGAAAGUCAAGAAACCAGUUAUUACUUCAUGAAACCAUCCAACGACGACUUGCACUUGACUCAAGAGUCGUGAAAUUUCUGUUCUAUCCUCAAGUAGCGAAUUGUCUAAGUAUGCUUUGACGAUUCUAUUACCCCUCACCAGCCUUUUGUUGAGCCUGCAAUUUUGUUGGUAGUAGAAAUGUCAUAUAAUUAAGUAGUUAUGGACAGUUUGACAAAAAAAAAAAAAAAAGUAGUUAUGGACAAGUUAUGUAUAUAAUUAAGUAGUUAUGCUUUCUUUCUUAAUAUAUAUAUAUAUAUAUAUAUAUCCUCCUUAUCUUCCACAAAAGACAUCCCAAGUAGACUCCCAAGUCUUCGGAAAUGACAGUCCAGAAAGGUAUACAUCACAACGGAGUCAAGGCAAUUGGUGCGAUUAUGCUGACAUUGGCUACUCUUUUGGCUGUCCUAAAGCUAUGGUUACUAUUGAUGCGUAGCUAAUGCGUAUAAAAGUUGACAUACAAUUGUGUUAGUAUGACUAUUCUAAUUAAUCUCUUAGUGGAUGUUAACAAAAGAAAAAGAAAAAGAAAAGAAUGUCCUAAGAUCUAAAAUCAAAUUGAAAGAAAUAAGGAAACAAUCACAAAGGAGGAUGUGACCAGUGAAGAGAAAGAAAAACAAAAAUAAGAAGAUUCCAUGUUUUUUCUUUUUGUGAAUAAAGAAAAAAGAAGCAAACAAUAAAAACUGACAAUAAAAAGAGGAAAAAGUGAAGAACGAGAGAAAUUAGAAAAAGGAGAUGAAGAAGAUAAAAACAGAGGAGGAACUCUAUGCAAAAAAGCAUAAAAGGAGGAAUUGAACGCUGAUACUCUUAACUUUUGUGAUAUUUCAUUUUGACCCUUGGACAUUUUGGGCAAUAAAAAAUGCCCUUAUGCAUUUUCCAAAACUUAAAUUGUAGCCUUAUUAUUGCAUAUGAUAUAUCUACAGAUAUUAUUGCAUAUCAACUAAAUAAUUUAUAAUCAAUAGAUUUAUUCCAUCGGGGUUUAUGGCAUCCUCUGACCCCUAAACUUGGCAACCUUUAACUUUUGCAAUCAAAGAAAUACUAAUGGAUGAUGUUGUUUCCCUUCUCAAUCUUCAGAUUUAUAACUUUUGCAUUUCAGUAAGAUUUUGCCUUUAAGAAGCUUCUCACUCUUGUGCUUAACUAAAGAAAGAAAUAUUCUGCAUGAUUAAUUUACUUUGUUUUGAAAGGUCUGUCUACCAGAUACUUAUUGGGCAUUGUUAAAAAAUUAGACGAAAUAGGAACAGAAAAUCAAAAAGAAAUAAUUUUUAAAGCAACAAAGAAUUCUAUAUAAUGAAUUAAUAUAGUACAAAACCUAAUUUAGAAAAGAGAGAGAGAGAGAGAGAGAGAGAGAGAGAGAUGCCCUAACAUUAGUAUACAAAAAAUUUUAAAAAAAAAUCCAAACAAGCCAUGGUUCACUGAAAAAUAUAAAGACAAAACAUCCAAAAAAAAGAAAAAAGAAAAAAACUCAACCACUAAAGAAUUGAUGGAUACUUGGACAAUUAACAUGCAAGAAAUAAAAAAAAUAUUCAACCCUUCCAUUGAAGGUAUGAUACUCUCCAUUUUGGUAUAUUCCAAAAUAUUUGUUAUCUUACCAAAGUCAAAGUUAUUUUUUGGCAGUGCACCGGUAAUAUCUAUAGAAACUGAACCUAGAUUACGUGUUGGUAUUUAUUUGCAAAUUCUUUAGAUAUUGCAAAACCCUAGAUUUUUAGAUGGCGAUGACAUAGGCAUUUCAAUUUUAUUAAGUGCUAAUGGUAUAUCUGAAUUUGUUAAUCAGACACCAUAUAAUCGUUAUAGUUUUUGUCAAAGAACAAGGAACCUGUGGAGUGGCAUUUACAAAAUCUAGUGCUAUUUCUCGUUGCAUAAACAUUUCUGAACAAAUGAUUUAAUAUUACUAUCAUAUAAUAUAUAUAAAAAAAAUAUGGGCACCCAUCCAAGUAAUUUACAAAUAUUUAACCUUAUUUAAACUGUAUUUAAUAUAAAAUUAGCGAGUUUAGAAUUCCAUAAUUUUAUAUAUAGAGCAUUUUUAUUGGCCAAAGAUCUAUAAUUGUCAAGUAAUUAAUCUGGAUCAAGAUAAAAUUGCUCUUAGACUGGCGGCCUGCGGGCACAAAACGCGAAACUCCAAUUUUCAAUUUUGCGUAUAAAGAACUUUUACAGUCCAUCUUCAAAACUAAGACGGCCCACAUGUUAAAGGAAGGACAAUUCUCCAGAUUUAAACUUGAAGCCAAGUUGUUUUUAAUUUUGUUUAUCAUCCUAAACAUGAGUAUUUUUCAGUAUUGUAAUUAUCUUGUAUGUUUUUCAUAGUUUGGAAGAAAGUUAUCAUGUAUUAAUAAGUUUGAUCUUUGACGCUAAGGAUGCAUCUAUUCUUCAUUUUUUUCCACAUGAUUUUUUUCCACACGCUAAGGAAAAAGUUGUUGCAACGACUAAUAGUGACAUAAAUUGUUGCAAUGACUAAUAUUUCGACCAAAAAAAAAAAAGACUAAUAGUGAUUAAUUAGUCAAUCAUGCAACUUUCGACCUAUAAGUAGGGGCCUUCUGAUUUUUGCUCGACGCACUCAAAACCUCUCAUGAAUAUUGUGUGAAAGCAUUGAUUAGUAAAGAAAAGCAAAAAAAAAAAAAAAAAAAAAAACUCUGAAGAUCGAGUCUGUUAGUUUGUAACAAUAUGAUCAAAUUCACUCCAUUCAUUGUGUUAUGGUUUGUUUUUUUGGCAGGUAGAAUUGAUCUUAGUUGCCACGCAAGAGCAUAUUCAAACGUGAGUUGCUUUGAGAACGAGCGAAGAGCUCUCCUUGAGUUUAAAAAAGAUCUAAUUGACAAAUCAAAUCGCUUGGCAUCCUGGAUGGGAGAAGAUUGUUGCUCAUGGGAAGGAGUUAGCUGCAGCAAGAACACUCGACAUGUGGUAAAAUUUGAUCUACGUAAUAACGUUGUUUUUGAUUCUACUCGAUACUUCAAUGGAGACACGCAAAAUUAUGUCUCUAUUUAUGGUAAAAUGUGCUUGGGAGGCCAGAUAAGUCCUUCUAUAGUGAACCUGCGGCAUUUGCAUUACUUGGAUUUAAGCUCCAAUUAUUUUGCAGGAAUUCGAAUCCCAACAUUUAUAGGAUCCUUGAAAAUUUUGAGAUAUCUCAACCUUUCUAGUGCAGGUUUCAAUGGGACAAUUCCUUCGCAAUUAGGAAAUCUCUCAACCUUAGAAUAUCUCGAUCUUGGUGACCAAUCCGAAGGUUUUAAUUUUUGGAUAAGUCGUCAUUCUUUGUCGACAAAGAGUCUCCGGUGGGCCACUAGUCUUUCUUCCUUAAAACAUUUGGACCUCUCUAGGGUAUACCUAGACGAGGCUCAAGACUGGCUUCAAGCACUUAACAAACUUCGUUUCUUAUCCUCAUUAACAUUACAAUCCUGUAGUAUUUAUUCCUUUCCUUAUAUUGCACACCUUAAUUUCACAUCUCUUACCUCACUUGACCUCAGUUCCAAUGGAUUUAACUCUACGUUCCCUCUCUGGUUGUUUAAUUUGACUUCACUCGUUCAUCUCGACCUUAGUGACAACAGUUUUUUUGGUCCAAUAGUUCCUAACGGCCUUCAGCACUGGACUUCACUAAGCUACCUCGAUCUCAGCUUCAAUCAAUUCAAUGCUUCACUGCCCGAUCCACUUUUCACUUUCAAAAAUCUCGUCCAUCUGGACUUGAGUAUUAACCGAAUCCAAGGCCCGCUCCUCUUCGGCCUAGGCAACCUAACUUCUCUUUCCGUGCUGCACAUGGGAUUUAACAAGUUUGUAGGCAAAAUCCCAAGUGCGAUCGGGCAACUUCGAGAACUCACCGAACUCGAUCUCCGUUGGAAUGGGUUCAAUGGUACCAUUCCAUCCUCUCUUUGGAGGCUGAGUGAGUUGAAAUCCUUGGAUCUAUCCGGCAAUCCAUUGAGCGGGGAGUUGCGUGACAUUCACUUUGCCCAACUCGCACAACUGAAAGAAUUACGCUUAUCCUCCCCUCUCCUUGCUCUGAAUGUGAGUUCCUCGUGGGUCCCACCAUUCCAGCUUCACACCAUAGGAAUGGAUUCCAUCAAGAUAGGGCCCAAAUUUCCUCUCUGGCUUCAAACUCAGCAAAGAGUCAAAUAUCUGGUCAUGUCUAAUGCAAGCAUCUCAGAUACUAUCCCAGAUUGGUUUGAGAGAGUGUGUCAUGGUAUAAAAUAUUUGGAUUUCUCCGGCAAUCACAUGAUGGGAAAACCACCCGUGUGCAAAGGCAACAGUGGUCAUGAAUUUCGCAAAAUAUUUUUUUUGGAGUCCAACAAAUUCGAGGGGCCUUUGCAAUUGUUACCAACAGAUAUUGCUGAAUUGUAUCUUAAAAAUAACUCACUGCAAGGGAUUAUUCCACACCCCGACAUUAACAUGACAUUGGAUAUUCUUCGAGUACUAGAUCUCAGUGAUAACCACUUCAUCGGCAGCAUCCCUGAUUCGUUGUGCAGCUUACAAAUGCUUGUUGUCCUGGAUCUUUCAAACAACCAGCUCUCUGGAAGAAUCCCUUCAUGCAUUGGUAAGCUUAAAACGUUGGGUGCGCUAAAUCUAGCAAACAACAGUCUCUACGGGCACAUUCCAAUUUCAUUGGGACAUCUGAUUGAUCUCCAGUCUUUGCACUUGAACCGAAACAAUUUUACAGGGAUGGUCCCAUUCUCUCUCAGAUAUCUGAAAAAAUUGGAGCACCUGGAUCUUGGAAAUAAUGGACUGGAAGGCAUUAUACCGUCUUGGAUUGGGGAUGAACUAUCUCGUCUGAGGAUCCUUGUGCUUGAAUCUAAUAAUUUCCACGGUGACAUUGCCGUGAGCCUCUGCAAAUUAUCAUCCCUUCAGGUUUUAGAUUUGGAAGACAACAACUUAACUGGCCAUAUACCUCGCUGUUUUAACAACUUUACAGCAAUGAUAUCGGCAGAAUUGGACUCUAUAGGUAUUAAUGUCUGGGUUUCUGUCCUGAAUAUAAGCUAUGGUGUAGUUGAUGAUGGUGAAGAUCUUUCAGUUUUCAUCAAAGGAGGAAUGUUGAACUACACCUCGAGGAAUGUGGCAUAUGUUAGAUUCAUGGGGCUCUCGGGAAAUAAACUAAGUGGGGAAAUACCUGUCGAGUUAAUGUCUCUUGUUGGAUUGCGGGAUUUGGAUUUAUCUAGAAAUCAUCUAAGUGGAAGAAUCCCAGAAAACAUUGGGAACUUGAGCCAACUUGAGUCUCUAGAUUUAUCCAAAAAUGACCUUUCUGGUCCAAUUCCCCAAAGUUUGUCGAACUUAGAUUCUCUGGGCUGGCUGAACUUGUCGUUCAACAAGCUAACCGGUCCAAUCCCAUCCGGACGUCAUCUGCAGACAUUAGACGACCCAACCAUUUACAUGGGAAACAGUGGACUUUGUGGUGAACCGCUAGACAAAAGCUGCCCUGAUGGUAAAUCAAAUGCCGGAGAAUCUGAUGGUGGUCAUGAGGAUGGCAAGGAGUCUUAUUUUUAUUGGUUUUAUGCUGGUUUGGGACCUGGUUUUGCUGUUGGACUCAUUGGAUUCUUCAGUGUCCUAUGUUUCAAGAAGUCAUGGCGCUAUGCAUACUUCGGAUUUCUGGAGAACUUGUUGAAUAAAGUAUGGGUAGAAAUUGCAUUGCUAAAAAGGAAGUUUGGUUGAUUGAUUUUACAUGCAUCAUGAAUUAUUGAAAACCAGGAUGUAUGCUUCAUCUUAUUGUAAAAUAAUAAAGUAUAAAUAAGGCAUUUCCACUUCCUUUUUGGCUUGCAGCCAAACGACCAAAAUUUCUUAUAAAAUACAGGAACGACCAAGCAACGCAACACAGAGAGCAUUAGCUUUGGAAGACGUUUAAUCUUAUAAUACAAAUGUAGUUUUUAACUAGCAAAGAUAUAUUAAUUAACUCAUCAAUCUGUUAAAAUAAUCGGAGGUCAAGAAGGGACAAUGCAGUCUCUUCGUACAAUUAAAAAUAUGCAUGCAGUCUAAUUAGAGUCAUAAAACAUUCAAAUUCAAUGGAGAUGAAAAAAUGUCUCAUUGUUUUGAAGAGAAGACGUAUGAAUAAUCAGAGUUAGCCCACGCCCUUUUUUUCCCCUUUUUCAAGAAAGAAGGAUGCCAAUGUUUUACAUGUUACAAUAUUAAAUUGUUCAACAAUAAUAUUAAAUUGAGAUUAAAGUAAAUUCAAAAUAUUAAAAGCAUAUUUUAGCAAUUUUUUCCCCUCAAAUGUUACUCUUCUACCUCUAGAAUGGCAUCAUAAACGAACCACCAGUUUAAAGAUUUUGUAGAACACUGACCCUUUUGGCUAAAUUCAUAUUUUGUUCUAUGAAUCAGGAUAAACCAGGCAAUUAAAUUUUACGCCACGCCUAUAACAGCCAUGCUGGGCUAUAACUACUUACACUAUGUAUUAAGUACUUGCUGUAGCAAUUCGAUCACUCAAUCAUGCUUGCAAAAGUUCUUCCAGCACCUAACAAAUUGCCAUGUCCUAGGGGUGUGACAGCAUAAUAGAGACAGCCAGUAAGUGCACCUUGAUAAAUAGUCCAACACUACCAUAACAUCCAACCCAAACAAAGCCAGACGACAAUCAUGAAGAACAAAAAGCUGUCUCUACAAGUCAAAGUAUGUGUUUGAAUGAACUCUUUGAAUUUAAACACUAGCAAAACUUGUCUUGCAACCUCCAAUAGCAUCAAGUAACAAUAUGCCUCAAAAUUUGUAGAAUCCCCUAAAGCCAUUGCCAAUGAAAGCACCGUUACAUAUA
rnacentral:lncRNA from 1 species